UCAAGUAGACGCAUAAUUUGAAGUUCUCGGUUCUUGUAUCGCUUAUCCUGUAGUACCUUCUUUAUAGCAACAGACUCGCCGGUUUCAAGGCAUUUAGCCUGUAAUAAAUAAUAGUUUAUUAAAUCAUCACCAGUAUUUUUUAGCGCAAUAAAUCUUUACGCUUUAAACAGUCAAAAAAAUAUUUAGAAUCAUAUCCACAUACCUCAAAAACUACACCAAAAGAACCAGUGCCAACUACACGUUCCGCCAUGUAAGACAAAGUCUAGACCAAAACAAAUUUAAUGACGUAAGUCCAACGAUUGCAUUUAAGCUCUUCAGUUACUAAAAAUUGAGUUUAAAGAAUGAUCACCUGUUUCGGUUGUCCAUUUCGACCACCCACAGACGUCACAAUUAUCUGGCCCUUUUCGGUUCCGUUGCCAUUGACAACGGUAGCCUCAACUUCCUACAUUACAACGUACAAGUGAAUGAAAAACAUAUCCAACGUUAUACAACACGAAUAACUACAAAAUCUCUAUGCAUUAAAUUUGAUAUUUACCUUGUCUUCGGAUUUAUCUUCCUUGAUUUUCAUUUCAUGCAUUUCUUUUGGAAGCUCGUCAAACCAUAUCUGUUGAUGUAGCAUCCAUUGGCUGGUCUACAGCUGUUGCAGUUUUCUCUACUGAUUGUGGCUCUGGUUCACGUUCAGCAGUAACAUCUGAUUCAACCUCUUGCUCAACCUUUACUCUCUUAAUGCUAGAAUCUCCACCCUAACAAAAAAAUUACUACUUCAUC
rnacentral:lncRNA from 1 species